UGGUUUACCAGACCCGGAAGGCGCGGGCCUUAGUGGCGGACGGGUGAGUAACGCGUGGGGAACCUGCCCCGUACCGGGGGAUAACACCUGGAAACAGGUGCUAAUACCGCAUAACAGAAGGGGACGCAUGUUCCUUUCUUGAAAACUCCGGUGGUACGGGAUGGACCCGCGUCUGAUUAGCUGGUUGGCGGGGUAACGGCCCACCAAGGCGACGAUCAGUAGCCGGCCUGAGAGGGCGGACGGCCACAUUGGGACUGAGACACGGCCCAAACUCCUACGGGAGGCAGCAG
rnacentral:rRNA from 1 species